rnacentral:tmRNA from 2 species
GGGGGUGAAAUAGGCUCGACAGAUGUCUAAAAGCUUUUCUUUCGUUCAGUAUUGUUCCGCUGUGACGGGCUACAUUUUAAAUGCUAACGAAAGUUACGCUAUUGCUGCUUAAUUAACUUCGGUUAAUUAAAAAGCAGGGGUCCGGGGCACCUUGCAACAGAACGCCCCACU